GGUCAAGCGAACAAGUGCAUGUGGUGGAUGCCUUGGCGAUCACAGGCGAUGAAGGACGCGGUAGCCUGCGAAAAGCUUCGGGGAGCUGGCAAACAAGCUUUGAUCCGGAGAUGUCCGAAUGGGGAAACCCGGCCCGAAUGGGUCAUCCCACACUGAAUCCAUAGGUGUGGGAAGCGAACGCGGCGAACUGAAACAUCUAAGUAGCUGCAGGAACAGAAAUCAACCGAGAUUCCCAAAGUAGUGGCGAACGAAAUGGGAAGAGCCUUGUACUCUUUAGCAGUGGUGUUAGCAGAACGGGAUGGAAAGCCCGGCCCUAGCAGGUGAUAGCCCUGUAUGCGAAAACACGAUUGUGGAACUAGGUGUACGACAAGUAGGGCGGGACACGUGAAAUCCUGUCUGAAGAUGGGGGGACCAUCCUCCAAGGCUAAAUACUCGUGAUCGACCGAUAGUGAACCAGUACCGUGAGGGAAAGGCGAAAAGAACCCCGGGAGGGGAGUGAAAUAGAUCCUGAAACCGCAUGCAUACAAACAGUCGGAGCCUCGUAAGGGGUGACGGCGUACCUUUUGUAUAAUGGGUCAGCGACUUACAUUCAGUGGCAAGCUUAACCGAUUAGGGAAGGCGUAGCGAAAGCGAGUCCGAACAGGGCGUUGAGUCGCUGGGUGUAGACCCGAAACCAGAUGAUCUAUCCAUGGCCAGGUUGAAGGUGCGGUAACACGUACUGGAGGACCGAACCCACUAACGUUGAAAAGUUAGGGGAUGAGCUGUGGAUAGGGGUGAAAGGCUAAACAAAUCUGGAAAUAGCUGGUUCUCUCCGAAAACUAUUUAGGUAGUGCCUCGUGUCUCACCUUCGGGGGUAGAGCACUGUCAUGGUUGGGGGGUCUAUUGCUGAUUACCCCGCCAUAGCAAACUCCGAAUACCGAAGAGUGCAAUCACGGGAGACAGACAUCGGGUGCUAACGUCCGGUGUCAAGAGGGAAACAACCCAGACCGCCAGCUAAGGUCCCCAAAUAUAGCUAAGUGGGAAACGAAGUGGGAAGGCUAAAACAGUCAGGAGGUUGGCUUAGAAGCAGCCACCCUUUAAAGAAAGCGUAAUAGCUCACUGAUCGAGUCGUCCUGCGCGGAAGAUGUAACGGGGCUAAGCUAUAUACCGAAGCUGCGGACGCGUGCGCUCCUUUAAGUGCACCAAGCUUGUCGAUGCGCAGCAUCGACAAAGCACCCAAACAAUGAUCGUUGGGUGUCAAUGCUAGUGGAUUUAAAGGAGCGUACGCGUGGUAGGAGAGCGUUCUGUAAGCCUGUGAAGGUGUCUUGUAAAGGAUGCUGGAGGUAUCAGAAGUGCGAAUGCUGACAUGAGUAGCGAUAAAGGGGGUGAAAGGCCCCCUCGCCGUAAGCCCAAGGUUUCCUACGCAACGUUCAUCGGCGUAGGGUGAGUCGGCCCCUAAGGCGAGGCAGAGAUGCGUAGCUGAUGGGAAGCAGGUUAAUAUUCCUGCACCGUCGUAUGAUGCGAUGGGGGGACGGAUCGCGGAAGGUUGUCCGGGUGUUGGAAGUCCCGGUCCCUGCAUUGGAGAAGGCGCUCAGGCAAAUCCGGGCGCGGGAUUCAAGGAUGCGGGGCGAGCGGCCUAGUGCUGCGAAGCAAUUGGAAGUGGUUCCAAGAAAAGCCUCUAAGCUUCAGUCAUACGAGACCGUACCGCAAACCGACACAGGUGGGCGAGAUGAGUAUUCUAAGGCGCUUGAGAGAACUCGGGAGAAGGAACUCGGCAAAUUGGUACCGUAACUUCGGGAUAAGGUACGCCCUGGUAGCUUGACUGGCCUGCGCCAGAAGGGUGAAGGGGUUGCAAUAAAAUGGUGGCUGCGACUGUUUAAUAAAAACACAGCACUCUGCAAACACGAAAGUGGACGUAUAGGGUGUGACGCCUGCCCGGUGCCGGAAGAUUAAAUGAUGGGGUGCAAGCUCUUGAUUGAAGUCCCGGUAAACGGCGGCCGUAACUAUAACGGUCCUAAGGUAGCGAAAUUCCUUGUCGGGUAAGUUCCGACCUGCACGAAUGGCGUAACGAUGGCCACACUGUCUCCUCCCGAGACUCAGCGAAGUUGAAGUGUUUGUGAUGAUGCAAUCUCCCCGCGGCUAGACGGAAAGACCCCAUGAACCUUUACUGUAGCUUUGCAUUGGACUUUGAACCGAUCUGUGUAGGAUAGGUGGGAGGCUUUGAAGCGUGGACGCUAGUUCACGUGGAGCCGUCCUUGAAAUACCACCCUGGUUUGUUUGAGGUUCUAACCUUGACCCGUGAAUCCGGGUCGGGGACAGUGCAUGGUAGGCAGUUUGACUGGGGCGGUCUCCUCCCAAAGUGUAACGGAGGAGUUCGAAGGUACGCUUGGUACGGUCGGACAUCGUACCUAAAGUGCAAUGGCAAAAGCGUGCUUAACUGCGAGACCGACAAGUCGAGCAGGUGCGAAAGCAGGACAUAGUGAUCCGGUGGUUCUGAAUGGAAGGGCCAUCGCUCAACGGAUAAAAGGUACUCUGGGGAUAACAGGCUGAUACCGCCCAAGAGUUCAUAUCGACGGCGGUGUUUGGCACCUCGAUGUCGGCUCAUCUCAUCCUGGGGCUGUAGCCGGUCCCAAGGGUAUGGCUGUUCGCCAUUUAAAGAGGUACGUGAGCUGGGUUUAAAACGUCGUGAGACAGUUUGGUCCCUAUCUGCCGUGGGCGUUGGAAUCUUGACGGGGGCUGCUCCUAGUACGAGAGGACCGGAGUGGACGUACCGCUGGUGUACCUGUUGUCUCGCCAGAGGCAUCGCAGGGUAGCUAUGUACGGAAGAGAUAACCGCUGAAAGCAUCUAAGCGGGAAACUCGCCUGAAGAUGAGGAUUCCCUGGCGGCUUGACCGCCUUGAAGGGUCGUUCGAGACCAGGACGUUGAUAGGCUGGGUGUGGAAGCGCAGUAAUGCGUUAAGCUAACCAGUACUAAUUGCCCGUAAGGCUUGAUCCU
rnacentral:rRNA from 1 species